rnacentral:rRNA from 1 species
UACGUUGGGUGCUAGCGUUGUCCGGAAUCAUUGGGCGUAAAGAGCGUGUAGGCGGUCCGGUAAGUCCGCUGUGAAAGUCCGGGGCUCAACCCUCGAAUGCCGGUGGAUACUGUCGGGCUAGAGUGCGGAAGAGGCGAGUGGAAUUCCUGGUGUAGCGGUGAAAUGCGCAGAUAUCAGGAGGAACACCUAUUGCGAAGGCAGCUCGCUGGGACGUUACUGACGCUGAGACGCGAAAGCGUGGGGAGCAAACAGG